UGGCGCUCUCAGAUUGGCUACUUGCAGACCUCCCGCCAAAAAACAACUGCGGAGGAUGUUUACGGUUCUGCCAACAAUUACUAGUUGGGUUCUAAGGAAAAAUCCGAACACGACUGAGGCCAAGAACUCUGAACCAUGACUUUGCAGGCGUAUAACGUAUGACUCCAUGCAAUGCGGUCUCCUUAGGAUAGGAGAAGAGGGCCGGAAAACACCAGGGGCCCACGUGCUUGAUGGGAAGAGGAUUCCCAUGUGGUCUCAUAGUACCCCUAGCAUUGGCCCCGCUCUCAGAGGUGCUGGGACCUCAGGCUCCUGCCUCUGACCGUCUGGAUCCCCACAGCAUCUACAAAUUGCUCUGCAUUUCCAAAUCAGCCCCCAUUCAUCCAUCGAUGUCCAUGGACCACAGUCAUCAUUCACUCACUCAAACAAUGACUGCCAGAGUCCCGUGCUGUGAAAUAGCGUCUGGAAGCUGGGGACCUGUCAAGGAACAAAAGGCGAUGGAAAGAGACCAGGCAGUCAGAGGCCUCCUCGAGCCCUGGGGAUUCCGUGUCUGGUGGUGCUGGCUGUGCACCUGCCUGCACGUGGAGUUUCAAGUUAUUUGUUACAUUGUCCUGGCAACUGUGGAUACUUCCUGCCCAUCUACAGGGAUGUUCUAACCAAUGUUCUCUACCUUGGAGAGUUAAUACCAUUGGAGGCAUUCAUCAAACACACAGAAGCAAAGAGAAACAUGGGACCUGACCACCAAAAACUUGCUGUGAAAUGAGCGACAGUUGUAAGGGAAAAGUGCAAAUAAACUUUGUUAUCCAGACUCAAGAACGUGAGAGUCAUAUACAUUUUUGGGUAACACUUUGCUAAUGAAAUUCUUCCUGUUUGCUACCUGAUAUGUAGAAACCAAAUAGAUUAACAUAAUUGAUUCCUCUGUAGGCAAAUUUACGAUCUGAUCUCUUGCUGCAGCUCAAGAUCCAAACAGAUCAAGAUGGUGCCGUUGCAAGCAACAGGAAGGCAAAUGAGUGGGGUGUUGGGGGAAGAAAUGGCCAGCCUAGCAGACAGGAAGCCUAGGCCUCCGGAUCUCACAGCCCCAACACUCAGGCUGGGUGGAAAGGAAGACUUUCCGGCUAGUGGGCAGCCGCCAGUGUCCAGUCUCUCCAGAGACCUCUGCGUCUGCUGGAGGGCUGCUUCUCUGAUAUUCCCUG
rnacentral:lncRNA from 1 species